rnacentral:rRNA from 1 species
CCUACGGGUGGCAGCAGUGGGGAAUUGUUCGCAAUGGGCGCAAGCCUGACGACGCAACGCCGCGUGGAGGAUGAAGAUCUUCGGGUCGUAAACUCCUGUCGAGUGGGAAGAAUAGUUUCCGGGCGAAUAUCCCGGGAGCCUGACGGUACCACUAAAGGAAGCCCCGGCUAACUCCGUGCCAGCAGCCGCGGUAAUACGGGGGGGGCAAGCGUUGUUCGGAAUUACUGGGCGUAAAGGGCUCGUAGGCGGCCAACUAAGUCGGAUGUGAAAUCCCC